GGAGUGAGGAGAAAGACAUAAAAUGUCACUUAGUCUUUAUAGCUUCUUUAGUGUUAUAAGAAUGAUUGCAGUCUUGCUGUGAUGUUGUCAUGCUUCUCUUGGAAAGCAGGAAAAUCUACUUCUCAAUGCCCCAAAUAAGAAGGCAAGAGUUAAAACUCGGCGGCCCCACAGUCAACUGUCUCAGAUAGAAAAGAAAGCUACAAAUCAAUAACACCAAACAGAUCAUAAGCAUGAGACUGGCCUGGAAUAAAUGUGAGUCUAGCCUGGGCCUUAUAAGAGUCUAGGUUUCCUAGCACUCACCAGACAUAGAAGAAUCCCCCACAAAAGGGCUUCAACUGCAACAGCAGACAACAAACGGCUAGUAGUUCCUGGACAUGACUUAAUAUUGAGAAGAGAGAAAGGACUCCACAGCACUUGCUUGUUCUGACUGGUUUGGUCCUGUGCAGCUCUCAAACCCUGCAAUCGCUGCUUCAUCACAUGAAACAGAGACCCAGGAGGGCAGAGCAGUGAGUGCCAGCACUUCGUCUUUUCCAGGACAAAGUGUCUAGAGUCUGGUCAACAACAGCUUGGGAGUGGGGUGGGGGAAGGCUUCCUGGGAACCACCGGGAAACUGAUGGAGAAAAAGAAAAUAGGAUUAAGUGAUACAGAACAAACAGAUCACACUGCAGAGGAGAGAGCGGCAUACCUCCUAAAGCAGCCGACUAGCCUCAAGCUGGGAGGCAAAGUGAAACUAAAUUUUUGUUCAGGAAGAACUGGAGAACUACAUGGCAAAGAAUCAUUUACAGUUGGAACCAGCAAGGAAAUCACGGGACAUCGCUCCUGGAGCGGCCUCCCACGGUCAGCAGUGGGCUAAAGGGUCCCAAGGCAUGGUAUUUCUCAACUAGUCUUCAUAGAUACGACUCUGACGGAUUAUCCUGUUACGGCUGUAGAUGAUUUGAUUGCACAGGAAUAAUCUGGAUCACUGAACAGUUUCAUGCCAGUGACUUGUCUGCAGAAUCCACAAUCACAUCUAGGGAGAAGGGUGUCAAGAGUUCCUAACCCUUCAAGAACUUCACUAGGUCAGACUCUCCAAGAAUGCCUGGAACCUGGCAAGAAGGAGUCCUGAGUCUGAGUUCACUUCAUUUCUCCACGGAGGGAUCAGAGGAGUUACUGGGGUGUGAGCACUCACACUCUGGCAAAGAAGCCACUAGGGAAUCACAUAUGCAGUGUCUCGUUGGAAUAUUUAAUCUGCAUUCCCAUCGGAUAUCUUAUAGGUAUAAGUUUUUGUAUGUUUCAUUUAUUUAGUAAUGUGGGGCUUUGUUCUUUAUGAUUUCCUGUGUUUUUUUAGGUUGUUAUUUUUGUGUAUUUAUUCUUUCAUUGGCUCUGAUUUGAGGGGCAUCUAGGCUCUCUCCCUCAUCUCAGCUCCGUACCUAGUUUCUUCACCUCAAAUCCUCGAGAUGAUAUUAUUAACAUAUCUCUUCAUUCAUUUUCUAAACACAUAAACUCCCCUGCCCAAAAUUUUUAAUUCCCUCUAUUUACCUCCCUCACAGUCACUCCGAUCUUCUCUAGUAUUAUUCCUCAGUCCUCCCAAUCCUAAGCCUUUGGCUCUUCCAUAUCUUACCUAGCUUACAAUCCUCCUUAGCAGCAAGUUCUGACAACCACAUUUCGUUCCUCAAUCACAAAGUGAACCCUCUUGCCCCCAUAUUUCACCCCUGCUCCCACAAAUUAUGCUCUGAAACUCUGUGUUAAACCUUUAACUUAGCUAAAAGUACUAAAAUCAGGACUCAGAUCAACUUUUCUGCUCAUGUCCCCCCAGUCUUCCUUUUCAAACGUGCUCCUUAGUGCCCACCGCUACUCAUCCGAACACCCGCCAUCCUCCCCAUCCGACCUCACCUACCGUACUGCAGAGCACUGACAAAUAAUAAACAUAGUGUGCAUGGGAAACAGACAAGCAAGCUGCAGUAAGUACAUGGAACCACUCCCCGGGAUGACUGUAAACUGCACGAACUACAAACAUAGUAAUAAAAAACUGUAAUUUUUAAUACUGAAACAAACACCAUAUUAAGGGUUUGGAAAGAAUGGAGGUGCCUUCCUUGAUCAUUUGAUUAGGAAUGGAGAGUGGGGAGUGAUCAGGAGCCAUUUCCUUUCCAAUCUCCGUGAAUCCUGACAACUUUUCUACCAGGUAGGUGCUAUCAUCAUGUUUACCACGGAGACUGGAUAAAUGGAGGCUGAUGGGCUAAGGAACUAAUCUAAGCCAGGAAGUAUAAAGAGAGCCUAAUUUAAUCCCAGCUGUUUUACUCUAGUAGACUCCUUUUAUUUCUCAUCUUUUCCCUUCUCCAUAUAUAUUAUAAAUAAUGGCUUUUAAACCUUAACAUAUAGUUGACCUUUUUCUACAUUUUUAUUUUAACUGUGGCAAAAUAUGCAUAACAUAAAAUUUACCGUCUAAAUCAUUUAAGUGGUCCAGUUCAGCAGCAUUAAGUACAUUUGCAUUGUAGCAAUUACCACUACCAUCUACCCAUAAAAUUCUGUUCAUCUUGCACAACUGAAACUAUGUGCCUAUUAAAUACUAACUCCUCAUUUUAAUGCAUUUUAGGCCCCUCUUUUUCCUUGCUUUCCCUUAAGCUGUCAGCAACAUGCCCCCCCCCCGUUGCAUAAGCAUUUGUUGGUUUUGUUUGGGGCCUGUGAAUCUUGAGAACUGUUAGAUUCUACUCAAAUGCAAAACUCCUAGCAAUACUCCAGCUGGUUGGGCUAGGUUCUGACUGAGCCGCAUGGCUCUUCACCUCCUCUAAGAUGUAUCUAAAGUACAGCACCAAGGUAUCUUCCCGAACCUGUUUUUCUUCUGCGGCACUAGAAUAAGCAUAGCAGAAGUACUUAGCUCACUAUUCCUUCAGUGUAUUCCAUAUAGGUUGAUGGAGCUCCUAAUACAUGGCAGAUGCUGAUCUGAACACCAU
rnacentral:lncRNA from 1 species